rnacentral:tRNA from 1 species
GGCACUAUAGCCAAGUGGUUACGGCGACAGAUUUGAAUUAUCAUUAUCUGUUCCUCUUUGAGGGCGCAGGUUCGAACCCUGCUGGUGUCG